rnacentral:rRNA from 1 species
AAUAUUGGACAAUGUGCGAAAGCCUGAUCCAGCCAUGCCGCGUGUGUGAAGAAGGUCUUCGGAUUGUAAAUCACUUUAAGUUGGGAGGAAUGGCAGUAAGUAAAUACCUUGCAAUUUUGUCGUUACCAACAGAAUAAGCACCGGCUAACUUCGUGCCAGCAUCCGCGGUAAUACGAAGGGUGCAAGCGUUAAUCGGAAUUACUGGGCGUAAAGCGCGCGUAGGUGGUUCGUUAAGUUGGAAGUGAAAGCCCCGGGCUUAACCUGGGAAUUGCUUUCAAAACUGACGAGCUAGAGUACGGUAGAGGGUGGUGGAAUUUCCUGUGUAGCGGUGAAAUGCGUAGAUAUAGGAAGGAACAUCAGUGGCGAAGGCGACUACCUGGACUGAUACUGACACUGAGGUGCGAAAGCGUGGGGAGCAAACAGG